GGCCAUAGUUCAGCGGUAGGGCAUCUGCCUUGCAAGCAGAAGGUCCCAGUUCUAGUCUCCAGUGGCACCG